GUUGCUAUUCACUAAAUGUGCUAACUGAUAUAGCAGUUAUAUAGUUAUAUAGUUUUUUUUUAGAAAUGUGGAUCCAUCACUCUCGCAUUCACCUGCAAUUCUCACUAAGAGGGCACGCAGCAACACAGGCGAUAAUGAGAAAGAGAAUGUGGAUCCAUCACUCUCGCAUUCACCUGCAAUUCCCACUAAGAGGGCACCCAGCAACACAGGCGGAAAUGAGAAAGACUAUAGCCCUAAUGAGAGUGCUCCAAAACCCCUUGCAAAAAAGGCCAAGAAAAACAUCAGACAAGCAACAGGCAUUCAUCUCUGUCAUGGAAAACAGAUAAUGACACUGACAUGGUUCCACAGACUCUGAGAUUCCUACCUGCACGGGAACCUGGACCACAGCUGCGUCCUGCUGAUGAACACACUCCUAAGAGUCUCUUCAAAAUGUUCAAAAUGCAAGGAAUAAUG